UUUGUAAUCUGUAUUUUUCCAUCGUAAUGGGUCGGUUCCGUUACUGUUCAUUCCCCAUACGUGUUCUUUUAUCCGUACUUCUCCUUCUACGUGUACUGCCUCUCAGUUAUUCUCCACUGCCUCCUUGCUUUACUAUGCUUUACAUCGUCUGCACAACUCAAAAUCGAUGGUUGCUUCGCACACCUAUUUUCUAUCUCUCCCACUGUUCCUCACCGACUCUUUAAAUCAAAGUUUGAGGGCUCCCAUCUGUUACUGAUCGGGAAAGAAAAAUGGAGGUGGGUUCCUUCGAUCCUUGACUGCUCAAAAAGAAACACGAAGGAAGCAGGUGGUGAUGGUGUUUUUCGAUGGUGUUGGUCGGAGGAAGGUGGCAAGGUGGCGUUUGUCGAUGGUGUUUGCCACUCAUCUGGGUCCCUCUUUUCUAUCUUUGAUUCCAUUUUUUCUCACAACUCUCGGUAGGAGUCGAUGGUACUAGAAAUUUUCAAUUAUCAGCCCUAAAUCUUCAAGAAUGUUGAUUCCACCGGCGCACCUUACCACCAUGGUACCCUAAUUUCAUUAUUUCAUAUUUCACAAUGGGAAAUUCGAAUCGUUUAUCAAAAUUCUUCUGACAAAUACAGGCAAGUUAAUUAAUUAUAUUUGCUUCACUAUUUCUUUUUAUUUGGGUAUAUCGACUCUUUUCCUGUUGAUUAACAGAGCAAAGCACGAUGAUGGAAUCAUUUUGCUCCCAAUCUUCAAUUACAGCAGCAAUGAUGGUGCCUAAGCUUCUGCAGUUCCGAUUGAGGGUCUAUGCAAAAUCUUAUCUACCGACAGACAGAGAGAAAGAAAAGGAGGAGAAAAAAAUGGAAGAACCCUUGAAGUUUUAUUAUAUUAGGGCCAAAUUCUCCUACUUUCUCUCUCUAUACGCUACAAUAUUACUUCCAAACAUACACAGAAUAAUUAAAAUUUUGGAAAAAUCUUAACAGUUCUUGAUGCUGGCCUCAUCGUCAUCCUUCAAGAGACUCAAUUCUCUGGAGUGCAACAUCAUCUCUUGGGUACAAUCAGCUUAUCAAUGGCAUAACAUCUUGAAAUCACUUGUCAUUCAUUGUUGGAGCCACAAAUUACUAUAUUCUGUCAUUUUUGAUUGAAUUUGCAGCAAGUAAUGAUUCAAUAGUGUUGAGAUAUUGGAGACAAAGCAAAUGGAAGAAAGUAAAAAAAAAAAAAUUUGGAUAUACAUACAAUUUUUGAGGAGCAUUGGAUUCAAUAUUCAGAUAAGUUUAUUUCACUGUAAACAAUAUUUUCAGCUUUUUGUUGUUUUGAAAAUUUCAGAUAUGGUUAGCUGCAUAGCUGUACCCUGUUCCUUACCCCCUCCACUAUUUUCUCCAAAUUUUCCUCCAAAUUCAAAUUCAAUGACCUCAGCACUUCCAAUAUUCUCACUAACACAAGAAAAACAUCCAAAAUAAGCUGCUCUGGCGCCGAAAAUUCUCAAAAUCAGCAGCAACAGCUCAAUCUAUCUGUUCUUCAGUUGGAUAGAUUUGAAGCAUCAAACAAGAUGAAGUUCGUUUGUUGAGAAGAAUUACAAGGAGAUGCUGCACUAACGGAUGGAAUAAAAAACCCCUUUUUUUCGAUGUUAUUUUUACUCAGGUAAAACAUCAUACAUUAUCUUUUUUGUUUUUUAAAAAAAAAAUUUAAAGCGAUUGGAAUAAGAUAUUGAUACAGUCUAAUAUGAUGGGUGUAGAAUUUCUUGUAACAAACUACUAUAAGUAAAAGUUUUUUAGGAGCUUAAGUUUACAUUUCAUAGUAUACUUAAACCAGUAAUCACAAUUUUGAAAAUGUAGUCAAUAUGGCUCUAAUGUUGAUAUCAAUGUAUCUGCAACUUCUAGGGUUGUUGGGUACUCCACCAGCUUUUAACCUUGCUGUAAGAUGACUAUAUUUUUAGUGUUCUAGAAAUCCUUACUACUUGAAGCAUAUUGUCUUCUGUGCUCAAAUUUUUGUACCUCCUCAGUUUUUUUGUUAAUUGGUGUAAUUUUAAUUAUUGGUGCAAUUCAUCACAAAUGUAACCGUUCUUGAUGUAAUUCAUCAAAGUUUUAGGUGAAUACCUACUUCAAAGAUUCAGAAGUAGUAUUUUAUUGGUCAUUAUGCUAUGUACACAACUAAUUGUAGAAAAUAGCAGGAAUGCUCUUCUGUCUCUCAA